CGGUUGAUCCUGCCGGAGGUCACCGCUAUUGGAAUACGAUUAAGGCAUGCGAGUCGAGAGUCUUCGGGACUCGGCAGACGGCUCAGUAACACGUAGAUAACCUGCCCUUAGGUGGGGGAUAAUCUCGAGAAAUUGAGAAUAAUACCCCAUAGGUCUAGGAUGCUGGAAUGCUUUUAGAUUCAAAGCUCCGGCGCCUAAGGAUGGGUCUGCGGCCUAUCAGGUUGUAGUGAGUGUAACGGACUCACUAGCCUACGACGGGUACGGGCCCUGAGAGGGGGAGCCCGGAGAUGGACUCUGAGACACGAGUCCAGGCCCCAAGGGGCGCAGCAGCUACGAAAACUUCACAAUGCGGGAAACCGCGAUGAGGGAAUUCCAAGUGCUGCAGUAUAACUGUAGGCUGUUUAGUUGCCUAAAAAGCAAGUAGAGUAAGGGCUGGGUAAGACUGGUGCCAGCCGCCGCGGUAAUACCAGCAGCCCGAGUGGUGACCACUUUUAUUGGGCCUAAAGCGUCCGUAGCCGGUUUGGUAAACCCUUGGGUAAAUCGAGCAGCUUAACUGUUCGACUUCUGAGGAGACUGCCAGACUUGGGACCGGGAGAGGUUGGAAGUACUUUUGGGGUAGGGGUGAAAUCCUGUAAUCCCAAAAGGACUACCGGUGGCGAAGGCGUCCAACUAGAACGGGUCCGACGGUAAGGGACGAAGCCCUGGGUCACGAACCGGAUUAGAUACCCGGGUAGUCCAGGGUGUAAACGCUGCAGGCUUGGUGUUGGGGGUCCUACGAGGGCGUCCAGUGCCGGAGAGAAGUUGUUAAGCCUGCCGCCUGGGGAGUACGGUCGCAAGACUGAAACUUAAAGGAAUUGGCGGGGGAGCAC
rnacentral:rRNA from 1 species